rnacentral:rRNA from 1 species
GACGAACGCUGGCGGCGUGCCUAAUACAUGCAAGUCGAGCGCAGGAAGCCGUCUGAACCCUUCGGGGGGACGACGGUGGAAUGAGCGGCGGACGGGUGAGUAACACGUAAAGAACCUGCCCAUAGGUCUGGGAUAACCACGAGAAAUCGGGGCUAAUACCGGAUGUGUCAUCGGACCGCAUGGUCCGCUGAUGAAAGGCGCUCCGGCGUCGCCCAUGGAUGGCUUUGCGGUGCAUUAGCUAGUUGGUGGGGUAACGGCCCACCAAGGCGACGAUGCAUAGCCGACCUGAGAGGGUGAUCGGCCACACUGGGACUGAGACACGGCCCAGACUCCUACGGGAGGCAGCAGUAGGGAAUCUUCCACAAUGGACGAAAGUCUGAUGGAGCAACGCCGCGUGAACGAUGAAGGCUUUCGGGUCGUAAAGUUCUGUUGUAAGGGAAGAACAAGUGCCGCAGGCAAUGGCGGCACCUUGACGGUACCUUGCGAGAAAGCCACGGCUAACUACGUGCCAGCCGCCACCGUAAUAC